rnacentral:rRNA from 1 species
UCGCGGCCUAUCAGCUUGUUGGUGGGGUAAUGGCCUACCAAGGCGUCGACGGGUAGCYGGCCUGAGAGGGCGACCGGCCACACUGGGACUGAGACACGGCCCAGACUCCUACGGGAGGCAGCAGUGGGGAAUAUUGCGCAAUGGACGAAAGUCUGACGCAGCAACGCCGCGUGAGGGAUGACGGCCUUCGGGUUGUAAACCUCUUUCAGCAGGGACGAAGCGAGAGUGACGGUACCUGCAGAAGAAGGACCGGCCAACUACGUGCCAGCAGCCGCGGUAAUACGUAGGGUCCGAGCGUUGUCCGGAAUUAUUGGGCGUAAAGGGCUCGUAGGCGGUUCGUCACGUCGGGAGUGAAAACUCGGGGCUUAACCCCGAGCCUGCUUCCGAUACGGGCAGACUAGAGGUAGGCAGGGGAGAGCGGAACUCCUGGUGUAGCGGUGGAAUGCGCAGAUAUCAGGAAGAACACCGGUGGCGAAGGCGGCUCUCUGGGCCUUACCUGACGCUGAGGAGCGAAAGCGUGGGUAGCGAACAGGAUUAGAUACCCUGGUAGUCCACGCCGUAAACGUUGGGCGCUAGGUGUGGGGGACAUUCCACGUCCUCCGUGCCGCAGCUAACGCAUUAAGCGCCCCGCCUGGGGAGUACGGCCGCAAGGCUAAAACUCAAAGGAAUUGACGGGGGCC